rnacentral:lncRNA from 13 species
UUACACUGUUCCUCUUUGGACUUUCAGAAAUAAAAACCCAGCCCCCCUGGUGUGCAGUCACACUCGCGCCCUGAGGAGUGUUAAAAUUCAGCUCGAGAGGCACUUAGUGUCACAGAAGGGUAGAUAAAGAAACAAGAUUUCAAGCAGGAAGAAAUGAUAAAAAAGAAGCAGGACUUCAAGUGUCCUGUGAAACAGAGCAUUUGGCCUCCGGCAUACACAUCCAUGGGAGACGGCUCAACUUCUUUAUAAAGUGAGGAACCAAAUUGUGAAGACAUCUGUUCUGUUAUUAAUUUCACAUACAUCUUAAGCUCCUCAAGGCCAGAAAUGAGGCUUCAUUCACGUCGAAUUAAUGAAACAUGAUUGUUCAAGGGGAUAGAUUUUGACAGGAAUAUGUCAUGGCUCCGGACUGAACCGUAAAAUUCUAGAGGACGGGGAAUAGAAUCCAUGGGUUUUUUUUCUCUGCAGAACCUAACAACAUUUAAUGACAUCACCUUGGCUAAGAUUCAGGAAUUCAGAACACUAAGUUACCCUGAACUAUCUAAAAAUGAAAAUGGAAAGAUAAUUCUGCUCCAUGUCUGGUGUACUCCAACUGCGGAUAAGGGUACGUAGAGAAUGUCUAUUAUUUUGAGUACUUGAGUUAAAAAUAAAACUCCUAACACCAGUGAGGAAAUUGGAUUC